rnacentral:tRNA from 1 species
GAGGGUAUAGCUCAGGGGUAGAGCACAUGCUUAGCAUGCACAGAGUCCUGGGGUCAAUCCCCCGUACCUCCA